rnacentral:rRNA from 1 species
UACGUAGGGUGCGAGCGUUACUCGGAAUUACUGGGCGUAAAGCGUGCGCAGGCGGUUUCUUAAGUCAGAUGUGAAAGCCCCGGGCUUAACCUGGGAACUGCGUUUGAAACUGGGAGACUUGAGUGUGGCAGAGGGGGGUGGAAUUCCGCGUGUAGCAGUGAAAUGCGUAGAUAUGUGGAGGAACACCGAUGGCGAAGGCAGCCCCCUGGGUUAACACUGACGCUCAUGCACGAAAGCGUGGGGAGCAAACAGG